GACGAACGCUGGCGGCGUGCUUAACACAUGCAAGUCGAACGGAAAGGCCUCUUUCGGGGGGUACUCGAGUGGCGCACGGGUGAGUAACACGUGAGUAUCCUGCCCUUUACUUUGGGAUAACUUCAGAAAACAGGGGCUAUUACCGGAUAGGAGCUCCUGCUCCAUGGUGGGGGUUGGAGAGUUUCGGCGGUUGGGGGUGGGCUCGCGGCGUAUCAGCUUGUUGGUGGGGUAGUGGCUUACCAAGGCUUUGACGGGUAGCCGGCCUGAGAGGGUGACCGGCCACAUUGGGACUGAGAUACGGCCCAGACUCCGACGGGAGGCAGCAGGGGGGAAUAUUGCACAAUGGGUGGAAGCCUGAUGCAGCAACGCCGUGGGCGGGAGGACGGCCUUCGGGUUGGAAACCGCUUUCGCUCAUGACGAAGCUUUGUGUGACGGUAGUGGGUAAAGAGGCACCGGCUAACUACGUG
rnacentral:rRNA from 1 species